CAGCCGCCGCGGUAAAACAGAGGGUGCAAGCGUUAAUCGGAUUUACUGGGCGUAAAGCGUGCGUAGGUGGCUGUUUAAGUCGGAUGUGAAAGCCCUGGGCUUAACCUGGGAACUGCAUUCGAUACUGGAUAGCUAGAGAUCGGUAGAGGGCAGCGGAAUUCCGGGUGUAGCGGUGAAAUGCGUAGAUAUCCGGAGGAACACCGAUGGCGAAGGCAACUGCCUGGGCCUGAUCUGACACUGAGGCACGAAAGCGUGGGUAGCAAACAGGAUUAGAUACCCGCGUAGUCCCUGUCUCUUAUAC
rnacentral:rRNA from 1 species